rnacentral:rRNA from 1 species
GAGUGAACGCUGGCGGUAGGCCUAACCCAUGCAAGUCGAACGGCAGCACAGUAAGAGCUUGCUCUUACGGGUGGCGAGUGGCGGACGGGUGAGGAAUACAUCGGAAUCUACUUUUUCGUGGGGGAUAACGUAGGGAAACUUACGCUAAUACCGCAUACGACCUACGGGUGAAAGCAGGGGAUCUUCGGACCUUGCGCGAUUGAAUGAGCCGAUGUCGGAUUAGCUAGUUGGCGGGGUAAAGGCCCACCAAGGCGACGAUCCGUAGCUGGUCUGAGAGGAUGAUCAGCCACACUGGAACUGAGACACGGUUCAGACUCCUACGGGAGGCAGCAGUGGGGAAUAUUGGACAAUGGGCGCAAGCCUGAUCCAGCCAUACCGCGUGGGUGAAGAAGGCCUUCGGGUUGUAAAGCCCUUUUGUUGGGAAAGAAAAGCAGCAGGUUAAUACCCCGCUGUUCUGACGGUACCCAAAGAAUAAGCACCGGCUAACUUCGUG